rnacentral:lncRNA from 1 species
AAACAAUGACUCAUGGUCAUGUUGGAAUAGGUGGCUACCUAAGGAAUUGAUUGAAUUUAAUACGUAGCUUCUUGGUCUUAAAAAUGUUAGGCCCCACGUAGUCAAUUCAAGCUUUAAACAAAGCAAAUUUUCCAUUUCUCAUGAACAACCACCAACAGAAUGACAAGCUCCCACAAGAAAACGUUUUCUUCAUUUCAAAACCAAGUCAAGUUCGUUUCAAUUUCAAGUAAAUUCAGUUUAAAUUUCGCGAAAGCAGAUUCAUUCAAAUAAUUCAAGAAACAGGUAUGUUAAGGCUAAGCCCUUCCUUCAUUUUGGCAUGAUCUUGUAAUUACAUGAGUUUGAUAAUGCGACAUAAAGAGAAGUUCAUACUUCCAAAUUUAUAUACAUUAUCUUACUCUCAUAAAUUAUAGUAUUUUUCCACUUCCAAUAAUGAAUUAAAACAAUUUGUGCAGUGCUCCAUUUACUUACUGGAAAAACGCACAUCACUUUUAAAAGAGUGGAAGGAACUUUUUAAAAGACAAUAAAAAUCUCAAAAUUUUAUAGCUAUCCACUCUAUGACUCAUAUAUAAGUAGUUCCUCCAAGAUAUAAUAUUUGUUGGCCCGGUUAUGAUUUAUAUUGUUGUUGUUGUCUAUAAAGUUUUUGGAACAACUUAAAGUUGCUUUCUCACUUAGUCAUAUGAUUUAUAUUGUUAUUGUCGUGUAUAAAGUUUUUGGAACAACUUAAAGUUACUUUCUCACUUAGUCACUAUAAUUAAUAAUUUCCUAAGUCCGCAAGUAUGUAGGUAAAUGUACUUCAACAGCUAUUUUUGUUAUAUACUUGCCCUUGUCUAGAUUCCAACAGACUUUAGUAACAGCUACAACGAUGACAUUCACAUUCACAGGACUUCAGAUUCAUUUGAGUAUUUCCUUCUAUUAGUCAACAGAGCAGAGAAGUUACAUAUAUACAGUAUUAAAAGUAUUUUUAUUACCAUCGAGCUAUAAUCGAUGGGCAGGCUCCUAUUGGGCAACCUCUGAUCAGAUGGUAAGUUAUAUGACGAUCCUAUUGUGGCCGAGCGCAUAUGGGCGAGCCCAGUUGAUCGAGAUACAGAGCCUAGUAUGGUCGAGCGCUUAUGAGCGAGCCUACUAAGGCAGAGCAGAUAUAUAUGUAUACCGAGCCUUAUAGGGUCGGACAACUAUUUUACUUACUAUAUUGAGAGAAUUGAGUCAGUAUUAUCAGAUGAGCAUAUCUUCGAGUUUUCUUUGGCUCCCGGUUGUUCUCAGUUGUUAUAUUAUCAAUUCAAUUUCAGUUUUAGUUUCAGUAUAUUGCCGUACAUACUCGGUACAUUAUUUCGUACGGACGUCCCUUUCUGGGGACGCUGCAUUUUAUGUAUGCAGGGUCAGACAGACAGACGGGUAGACCUCCUCAGUAGGUGUUGCCCGAGAUCAGCUUUAUCAGUAAGCUCCCCUUCUUUCGGAGUUACCGGGUCUAGCAGUGUGGUGUGCAUCUUGUGUAUAUAUGUAGAUAGGUUAUGGGUAGGUCGGGGCCCUGUUCCGAUCAUAGUACAUCUAUUAUUAGAGGCUUGUAGAUAUGUCGUGUCAGUUAAUACCGUAUGUUGGUCUGGUAGGCCCUGUACGUAUAUUUUGUUAGCUUGUCAGUUGUAGUAAAUGUGACGGCCUUGUCGGCCCAGCCUUAUGUUGAUGGUUAGUCAGUAUUAGUCUCUAUUUAGUUUUAUAUUUUACAUCGCACAUUUUCUUGCAAGCCAUGUCCAAAAUUAUGACAUUACUUGUUCAAAGUCUCUGAGUCACAGGUGAUGCGCAAGGAUAGUUGAGGCACUGAGUGCCAGUCUCGCUCCCAGGUUCGGGGCUUGACAAUAAUGGACCGCAAACUCAUGAAGAGAAGUGCUGGUAGUGGAAAAUACGACGCAGAAUGUGAUCACAUAGCUGCAAUGCAGUCCACAAAACCACAAUGCGACGAUGGACUGGAAACUAGGGUUUUGAAGUGCGAUGGGCAUGAAGAGAAUGCGCACCGCAUGUCUGAUUUGCGAUAGAAAUGCGGUCGCAUACUUGACCUAAAAGGGCAUUUUUGUCCGUUUUCUAUCUCGAUUUUUGUCCCUCUAUAAAUAGAUUUAUUGUGAUUUUGUGGGCUCAUCUGGUCUGACUUUGAAGCUACAAUACAAGGCAUUAGUAUUCCUCUCUUUUGGAAACUUUUGGGUCAAGAAUCUUUCACUUUGUAAGCUUUAUUGCAUCAAAUAGUGUCUUCUUUUUGUAUUUUAGCAUGUGUAGCAAACUUUAAAUACCAAGGUUGUGGACCCUAAAUGGGUGUUAUGUUAAUGGGUGUUUUACAUUGAAUAUGUAUAUAAU